rnacentral:rRNA from 1 species
GACGAACGCUGGCGGCGUGCUUAACACAUGCAAGUCGAACGGAAAGGCCCUGCUUUUGUGGGGUGCUCGAGUGGCGAACGGGUGAGUAACACGUGAGUAACCUGCCCUUGACUUUGGGAUAACUUCAGGAAACUGGGGCUAAUACCGGAUAGGAGCUCCUGCUGCAUGGUGGGGGUUGGAAAGUUUCGGCGGUCGGGGAUGGACUCGCGGCUUAUCAGCUUGUUGGUGGGGUAGUGGCUUACCAAGGCUUUGACGGUAGCCGGCCUGAGAGGGUGACCGGCCACAUUGGGACUGAGAUACGGCCCAGACUCCUACGGGAGGCAGCAGUGGGGAAUAUUGCACAAUGGGCGGAAGCCUGAUGCAGCAACGCCGCGUGCGGGAUGACGGCCUUCGGGUUGUAAACCGCUUUCGCCUGUGACGAAGCGUGAGUGACGGUAAUGGGUAAAGAAGCACCGGCUAACUACGUG